rnacentral:rRNA from 1 species
GACGAACGCUGGCGGCGUGCUUAACACAUGCAAGUCGAACGGAAAGGCCUGUCCUUCCUUGUGUUGGACGGGUACUUGAGUGGCGAACGGGUGAGUAACACGUGAGUGAUCUGCCCCCAACUUGGGUAUAAGCCUGGGAAACUGGGUCUAAUUCCCGAUAGGACUGCAGGGUGGUGCCUGUGGUGGAAAACGAUUUUCUAGUGGUUGGGGAUGAGCUCGCGGCCUAUCAGCUUGUUGGUGGGGUAAUGGCCUACCAAGGCGGCGACGGGUAGCCGGCCUGAGAGGGUGGACGGCCACAUUGGGACUGAGAUACGGCCCAGACUCCUACGGGAGGCAGCAGUGGGGAAUAUUGCACAAUGGGCGGAAGCCUGAUGCAGCGACGCCGCGUGGGGGAUGACGGCCUUCGGGUUGUAAACUCCUUUCGACCGCGAGGAAGCCGCCUGGUUGGAAGGGUGGUGACGGUAGUGGUAGAAGAAGCACCGGCUAACUACGUG